AAAUAAAUAAGCUUAUUUGAGAAAUAUUAAGAAUGGGGCCACAGUUUGGGUUUUAGCAACUGAUUGGAAAGUGAUGCCAUUCACAUUGGACACGUUUAAAUUUGAGACGCUAGUGGAACAACCAUGUAUAGACACCUACUCGGCAAUCCUGCAUAUGAUCUCAACAUCAGAAGAGAGAUGUGGGCUGAUGACACAGAACUGAGAAUAGCCAGCGUUGCCACUGGGAGUAACCAUCACAUAUGUGGCAAAAAAGGCCAUUGGCGCAGAUAUAAUCACCCAGGCGGGAUGUGUAAAAUGGAAAAAGAAGGCAACCUAGAAGCAGGAUUCAACGUAUCAGAUACAGUAAUGAAGACAAUAAGAAAUUGGAUUGAUCCAGGUCUGGAGUUUUGCCACAGAGUGAAAUGGAACAACAAUAUGCAGGAGAAGUGAGGAUACUGAAUUCUACUUGAAAAUUAUACAGAAACAAUUUCUUAGAAUGCUCACAAAAGACCUGAAAACAUGGGGAGGAAGCAGGGCAUUUACAGAUGCAGUCUUGCUCUGUUGCCAGGCUGGAGUGCAGUGGCGUGAUCUCGGCUCACUGCAACCUCCGUCUCCCAGGCUCAAGCAGUUCUCCUGCCUCAGCUUCCUGAGUAGCUGGGACUACAGAUACUUGGCCUUUGGGAAGUAUCAACUGACUGUUCCAGGAAACUCUCCAAAUUGGCUUAUAACUCAUGCAAAACAACAUGCUGCAAUGUUCUGAUGAAAUGCUCCUCUACAGUCGAGGCUCCCAGAAGGCAGAGAGCAUAUUCAUUAACUCAUUCUGCUCAACACUUAGCUCAUGUCCAUGGAGAGAUGUUGAAUAUGAGCUCCUAUUAAAAAGAGGGAAUACAAUCAAUCAUUUGAGAAUGUCCAAAAAGAACUUUUCCUUUCCAUCGAGCCUUACAAAUUAUUCUAAGAUUGUUUCUGUAAAUACCAUGUAAUUGGGAGAGAUACACAGGGAGCGUCAAUUGUGUCUGUAAUGUUUUACUGCUUAUGAUAAAAAGAUCUGAAACUAAUGUGACAAAAUACUAAGAUUUCACAGAAUUCAGUGUUGAGUGUCCU
rnacentral:lncRNA from 1 species